rnacentral:rRNA from 1 species
AAAGGAAUAGACGGGGGCCCGCACAAGCGGUGGAGCAUGUGGUUUAAUUCGUCAUUAACCGAAGAACCUUACCAGGGUUUGACAUCUGGGGAAUCCUGAUGAAAGUCGGGAGUGCCUCGCAAGAGGAGCCUCAAGACAGGUGUUGCAUGGCUGUCGUCAGCUCGUGUCGUGAGAUGUUGGGUUAAGUCCCGCAACGAGCGCAACCCUCAUCCGAUGUUGCCAGCGUCAAGUCGGGAACUCUUCGGAAACUGCCCGUGUAAGCGGGAGGAAGGUGGGGAUGACGUCAAGUCGGCAUGGCCCUUACGCCCUGGGCUACACACAUGCUACAAUGGACGUGAACAAAGGGGAGCGAUACCGCGAGGUGGAGCAAAUCCCAAAAAUACGUUCUCAGUUCGGAUUGCAGUCUGCAACUCGACUGCAUGAAGUCGGAAUCGCUAGUAACCGCAGGUCAGCUAUACUGUGGUGAAUACGUUCCCGGGCCUUGUACACACCGCCCGU